CCCUUAGAUGUUCUGGGCCGCACGCGCGCUACACUGAUUCAUGCAACAAGCAUCCGUCCUUGGCCGACAGGCUCGGGCAAUCUUUGAACGCUGGUCGUGAUGGGGAUAGACUUUUGCAAUUUUUGGUCUUCAACGAGGAAUUCCUAGUAAACGCAAGUCAUCAACUUGCAUUGAUUACGUCCCUGCCCUUUGUACACACCGCCCGUCGCACCUACCGAUUGAAUGGUCCGGUGAAGCCUCCGGAUUGGCGCGCACCUCGGUGCCGCCGAGAAGUUGGCUAAACCUUACCAUUUAGAGGAAGGUGAAGUCGUAACA
rnacentral:rRNA from 1 species